rnacentral:rRNA from 1 species
CCUACGGGAGGCUGCAGUGAGGAAUAUUGGUCAAUGGGCGGGAGCCUGAACCAGCCAAGUCGCGUGAGGGAAGACGGUCCUAUGGAUUGUAAACCUCUUUAGGCGGGGAGCAAUGCCGGGCACGCGUGCCCGGAGGGAGAGUACCCGCAGAAUAAGCAUCGGCUAACUCCGUGCCAGCAGCCGCGGUAAUACGGAGGAUGCGAGCGUUAUCCGGAUUUAUUGGGUUUAAAGGGUGCGUAGGCGGAUUUUUAAGUCAGCGGUAAAAUGUCCGGGCUCAACCCGGGCCGGCCGUUGAAACUGGGGAGCUUGAGUGGGCGAGAAGUAUGCGGAAUGCGUGGUGUAGCGGUGAAAUGCAUAGAUAUCACGCAGAACUCCGAUUGAGAAGGCAGCAUACCGGCGCCCGACUGACGCUGAGGCACGAAAGCGUGGGGAUCGAACAGGAUUAGAUACCCGUGUAGUC